UGGGCAGCAUCCUGCAGCCCUUCAGAGCUCCUCAACAGAGAGUAGGAGCGCAGGGUGUGCAGGGGCAGGAGUGCCCAGACACCCCAGCUCCAGCCCACUAGGGCCUCUUUCUAAAGGCACCCCAGGGAAGAACCUGCUGCUCAAGCUUGCCCUGGUGGAGAGCAUCAAGAGCGUCACGCAGGCUGUGGGCAACUGCAGCAGCUUUGAGCUUUCCUCAAGGCAGGAGGUGCUGAGCACCUUGCUGGACUAGCAGGCUGUUGUGAGUGCAGUGGUUGCCAUGAUGAGGCUCCUUCUGAAGAGGAAUCAGCACUGAGAGCAUUUAGACUUUGGGCCUCAAAAUGAUGCUUUGGGCUCUUAAGGAUGAGACUUUGUACCUUAAACCUCUCUGCCACAGCAGGGCUGGAUGCCCUCCUAAUCCAGCCAGCAUGGUCAUGGAUUGCAAAGCCUGCUGGGCUGGGCACUAGAAGAGGACAAUAUUCACCCAUAGGCAGAAUGCCCUGCUUCAGCUUUAUCUCCACAGAGGCGAAAUCCAGAUACUUGUCCCUGGCUGUCUUCCCUUAGACUAAGCUCAGCUUCUCCAUAUGAACCUUGAAAGCGGAUUUGAGAGCCUGGAGAUCAAAAAGCAGCUUACCAGGCAUCCAUGCUCUGAGCUACUCUCCCUGGAAGUGAGCUGCUGUCCCCGGAAAUGAACUGCACUCAGCACUGGGUCACAUCAUGCAGCUUGUCCUGAGUUGAAGCUCCAGACAGUGAGACGUGACCCAAGCUCAGCAGCCUGGCAGGAAGAACCUCAUUACGCAGCCUGGGACUCAGAACCAUGCUUGGGCACGUCAUCCUCGGUGACCUGGGUGCUUCCAGUGUUCAAGGAGCCACAGCAGAGCUUCUAAGGGAAGCAGCCCUGCUUCUGCCAGCAGCCCAGAUGGGCUGGAGAACAGCAACCGCAGCAGCUUGUAAUAUAUGGAGAUUUGGCUUUUGCACAAUAAAGUGGUCAUAGGACUUCAUCAGUAAAAUAGCAAGGGAGCCAGUGGCGUUGGGAGGUGCCUGCCGUGUCCUUGGCUGAAGAUAAGGCUGCUGCAGUGAUGCCAAGAGGAGCCAGGAGGAUCCAGGAGGCCUCUCUGGGUGGAGUUAAGGGGCUUAGGGGUGGUGCUUAGAAAAGGCACAAGAAUAUUCUUGAAUAUGUAUAAAGCUAAUACAAUGCUCUCCAGUCCUUCUCCUAGAUAAGCAGGAUUAGUUUCUGCCAGGGCGUGCCUCUAGCAAGUGUGUCUUUGCUCUGCACCCAGCGCUCUUUGCCUUGAUUUUGUAAUAAAC